rnacentral:rRNA from 1 species
GGAAUCUUGCGCAAUGGACGGCAGUCCGACGCAGCGACGCCGCGUGGGUGAAGACGGCCUUCGGGUUGUAAAGCCCUUUUCUGGGGGAAGAGAUAGGACGGUACUCCAGGAAUAAGUGUCGGCUAACUACGUGCCAGCAGCCGCGGUAAUACGUAGGACACGAGCGUUAUCCGGAUUUACUUGGGCGUAAAGCGCCUGUAGGCGGUUCUUCAAGUCGUUUGUGAAAGCCCUGGGCUCAACUCGGGGAGGCCAAGCGAUACUGGGAGGACUUGAGGGUGACAGAGGGGAGUGGAAGUUUCCGGUGUAGCGGUAAAAUGCGCAGAUAUCGGGAAGAACGACCAGUGGCGAAGGCGGCGUCCCUCGGGUCCACACCACGACGCUGAGAGGCGAAAGCUAGGG